rnacentral:misc_RNA from 1 species
CCGAGUUUACAACUCCCAAACCCCUGUGAACAUACCACUUGUUGCCUCGGCGGAUCAGCCCGCUCCCGGUAAAACGGGACGGCCCGCCAGAGGACCCCUAAACUCUGUUUCUAUAUGUAAUCUUCUGAGUGUUAAAAAAAUGAAAUCA